GUUGAUUCAUAUUCUAAUGUAUGAAAAUAUCUCAAUUUUAAAUUCAUUCUACAGAUGGACAAUUAGGUGGUCUCUAGGUUGGGACUAUUACUAAUUAUGCUGUUAAGAACAUUCAUGGGAGGCUGGUGGUAGAGUGCUUGUCUAGCAUGUGUGAGGCAUUGGGUAUGAGUCUCAGCACUGCAUAUAAAUAAAUGAAUAAAAUAAAGGUACAUCAACAUCUAAUAAAUAUAUGUAUUUUUAAAAAUUCACGUACCUGUCUUUGCAUCAGCAAAUGUAGACUUUUUUUCCUAAGUGUGGAAUUGCUGGGCAGCUUUAGUUAAUACUGCCAGACAAUUUUCUAUGGUGACUGAACCAAUUUAAAUUCUUACCAGCAGUAUGUUAGGGUCCUGGUGCUCCAUAUCUUAGUGAAUAUCGUGUAUAUUUUCUUUCUGUCCCCCCCGCCAUUUUAAUAUACAUUUUCUUAAAGUUGAGCAGCUUUUUAUAUGUGUUACUGGUUAUUUGGAUUUUCAGGGAUAUUGAGAAGGUUUAAAGUUCCUUCUGGUCUCUGAAAAUGUUGGGUUUGGAAGUAGGGGUGGGUUCCAUUUAAAAAGAUAGUAAGAGAAACAGUGUCCUUGAGGAUAGUCAAGUUUUAAUCAAGGCAAGGAAGUUGAAGUGCAUACUAUAAAGAAAUUGAGAAUGUAAAACUAUUUGGUUUGUUAUGAAAGAGUUCUAGGGUACUCAGAGAAACAGUUUAGUGGAGAGAGGAGUAGUGGCAGAUUUUGUUAGACGAGGGGUGUUACAUGUUUAACAGGUAACUCAAAUUUUGUUUGGUGACUUAUGAUGAUAAAGAUGUUGAGAUAUGAAAUAGGUUGACUUCAAAUUCUAAACUGACAUGUGGAUUGAAAUUGCUUUAUCUAUGUAGGCUAACAGAUGUUUCAACCUAUGGGGAACUUCAUGACUCUUAGAUGGGCUCCUCAGAAAGUGCUAAGCAUCAGAGGAGCAGAAGACUGCAGGAUUGGUG
rnacentral:lncRNA from 1 species